rnacentral:rRNA from 1 species
CACGUAGGCGGUGAAUCGGGUUGAAAGUGAAAGUCGCCAAAAACUGGCGGAAUGCUCUCGAAACCAAUUCACUUGAGUGAGACAGAGGAGAGUGGAAUUUCGUGUGUAGGGGUGAAAUCCAACCAUCUACGAAGGAACGCCAAAAGCGAAGGCAGCUCUCUGGGUCCCUACCGACGCUGGGUGCGAAAGCAUGGGGAGCGAACG